rnacentral:rRNA from 1 species
ACGAACGCUGGCGGCGUGCUUAACACAUGCCAGUCGAACGGAAAGGCCCUGCUUUUGUGGGGUGCUCGAGUGGCGAACGGGUGAGUAACACGUGAGUAACCUGCCCUUGACUUUGGGAUAACUUCAGGAAACUGGGGCUAAUACCGGAUAGGAGCUCCUGCUGCAUGGUGGGGGUUGGAAAGUUUCGGCGGUUGGGGAUGGACUCGCGGCUUAUCAGCUUGUUGGUGGGGUAGUGGCUUACCAAGGCCUUGACGGGUAGCCGGCCUGAGAGGGUGACCGGCCACAUUGGGACUGAGAUACGGCCCAGACUCCUACGGGAGGCAGCAGUGGGGAAUAUUGCACAAUGGGCGGAAGCCUGAUGCAGCAACGCCGCGUGCGGGAUGACGGCCUUCGGGUUGUAAACCGCUUUCGCCUGUGACGAAGCGUGAGUGACGGUAAUGGGUAAAGAAGCACCGGCUAACUACGUG